rnacentral:rRNA from 1 species
GGAUAAACGCUAGCGGCGCGCCUAAUGCAUGCAAGUCGAGCGAUGAGGUCCUACGGGGCCAUCAGCGGCAGACGGGUGAGUAACACAUGGGUAACCCACCUUCAAGCCGGGGAUAACGUGUGGAAACGCACGCUAAUACCCGAUGCGUACGCUUAAGAGGAGACUGUGAGCGUAGAAAGUUACGGCGCUUGAAGAGGGGCCUGUGGCCCAUCAGUUAGUUGGUAGGGUAACGGCCUACCAAGGCGAAGACGGGUAGGGGGUGUGAGAGCACGGCCCCCCACAAUGGGACUGAGAGACGGCCCAUACUCCUACGGGAGGCAGCAGCAGGGAAUCUUGCGCAAUGGACGGAAGUCUGACGCAGCGACGCCGCGUGGGUGAAGACGGCCUUCGGGUUGUAAAGCCCUUUUCUGGAGGAAGAGGGAGGACGGUACUCCAGGAAUAAGUGUCGGCUAACUACGUGCCAGCAGCCGCGGUAAUACGUAGGACACGAGCGUUAUCCGGAUUUACUGGGCGUAAAGCGCCUGUAGGCGGUUCUUCAAGUCGUUUGUGAAAGCCCUGGGCUCAACCUGGGGAGGCCAAGCGAUACUGGAGGACUUGAGGGUGACAGAGGGGAGUGGAAUUUCCGGUGUAGCGGUAAAAUGCGCAGAUAUCGGGAGGAACACCAGUGGCGAAGGCGGCUCCCUGGGUCACACCAGNNGCUGAGAGGCGAAAGCUAGGGGAGCGAACAGGAUUAGAGACCCUGGUAGUCCUAGCCCUAAACGCUGGAUGCUAGGUGUGGGAUCGAGAGGUUCCGUGCCACAGCUAACGCGAUAAGCAUCCCGCCUGGGGACUACGGCCGCAAGGCUAAAACUCAAACGAAUUGACGGGACCCCGCACAAGCAGCGGAGCGUGUGGUUUAAUUCGAUGCUACACGAAGAACCUUACCAGGUCUUGACAUCCAGUAAAACUUGUAGAGAUAUGAGGUGCCUUCGGGCAUACUGAGACAGGUGGUGCAUGGUUGUCGUCAGCUCGUGUCGUGAGAUGUUGGGUUAAGUCCCGCAACGAGCGCAACCCUUGCCGAUAGUUACUAACGGGUGAAGCCGAGGACUCUAUUGGGACCGCCGGGGACAACUCGGAGGAAGGUGGGGACGACGUCAAAUCAUCAUGCCCCUUAUGACCUGGGCUACACACGUGCUACAAUGGCCGAGACAGAGAGGAGCGAAGGCGCGAGCCGGAGCGGAUCUCAAAAAAGCGGUCACAGUUCGGAUUGUGGGCUGCAACCCGCCCGCAUGAAGCAGGAGUUGCUAGUAAUCGCGAAUCAGCAUGUCGCGGUGAAUACGUUCCCGGGCCU